GGAAUCACCGCAUAUUGUAUCAAGAGUGAGAUAUCAGGAUGGAGAAAAUGCUGGAAUGUGCAUCAAUAAUCUUGUGGCUUCAGCUUGGCUCGUUGAGUGGAGAAGACCAGGUGGAACAGCAUCCUCAGACCCUGCGAGUCCAGGAGGGAGACAGCCCCAGCCUCAAAUGCAGUUACUCAGUCGGAAAUUUUAAAGGGCUACAGUGGUAUAGGCAAGAUCCUGGGAAAGGCCUCAAACUCCUCUUCCUUCUGUAUUCAGUUGGAGAUGCAAAGCAAAAAGAUGGAAUAAAAGCCACAUUGUCAAACAAGGAAAGUUCCCUGCACAUCGCAGACUCUAAGACUGAGGACUCAGCCUCUUACCUCUGUGCUGUGGAGACACAGUGCCCCACUGGCACCUGCAGCCUGUACCAAAACUUUGCAGUUGGGGCUCUGGAACAGGGGCAGUGGCAUCUCGGUUGGGUGAGCAGUAAACAGGAGGUGAAGCAGAGUCCUCUGGCUCUGAAUGUCCAAGAGGGAGAGACCUUGGUUCUUGACUGCAAUUACAUGAACAGUGCUAUUUACUUCCUUCAGUGGUACCGGCAGGACCCUGGGAAAGGGCUCACAUCUCUGUUGAUAAUUCAGUCAAGUCAAAGGGAGUAA